rnacentral:lncRNA from 1 species
AAUUUUUAAGAAUUAAACAGAAAUUUUUAUACGAAUAUCUGGUGAAUAGUAAUGAUAUUCCACAUGCUUUUGGGCCCCAUUCAGCUUGGUGCAAGGGGCAGACUGAUCUCAUCUGGUUACGCCACUAGUGUGUACAUGUUAAAUAAUUUAUCAAAUCUUUCAAGGUUAUUCCUGUCCAUUAUGAUAGAUAAUAGUGACUUUAGUAUACUUAAUUCUUUAGAAAAUUUUUGUUUAUUAUUCAGUUCAUAUUUAAUUCAUUUUGCUUAGGUAUACUAAAUUUUAAUCUAAUUUUAUUGAAAUUUGAGAAAGAUUUCUUUUGAGCAUUAUUUUAGCUUGAGAGCUGAUGAAUAUGUACAAUCACAUGGAAAUAGAAAUCAGAUAAAGGUUGUCCUCAAUAUGAUGGCGAUAUAAUCAAUUUAAAUUAUGUGAAUGUUCAAUGCAAUUCAUGUGAGAGUGUCAUGUAUAAUGAUGUAUCAACAAAAUCUUCUCUCUCUCUGGUGUCUGUAAUUUUGUGUUCAUUACAAUAAUGUAUAUGGGAUAAUGGGAAAUCCAUAAAUUUAGGAUAUUUCUG